rnacentral:rRNA from 1 species
CAGUAGCCGCGGGAAUACGGAGGGUGCAAGCGUUAUCCGUAUUUAUUGGGUUUAAAGGGUCCGUAGGCGGAUCUGUAAGUCAGUGGUGAAAUCUCACAGCUUAACUGUGAAACUGCCAUUGAUACUGCAGGUCUUGAGUAAAUUUGAAGUGGCUGGAAUAAGUAGUGUAGCGGUGAAAUGCAUAGAUAUUACUUAGAACACCAAUUGCGAAGGCAGGUCACUAAUAUUUAACUGACGCUGAUGGACGAAAGCGUGGGGAGCGAACAGGAUUAGAUACCCCUGUAGUCCCUGUCUCUUAUAC